rnacentral:rRNA from 1 species
AUACUGACCUGCCAAGGCAUCUUGGCGGGUCGAAAGCUCCGGCGGUGAAGGAUGAGCCCGCGGCCUAUCAGCUUGUUGGUGAGGUAAUGGCUCACCAAGGCGACGACGGGUAGCCGGCCUGAGAGGGCGACCGGCCACACUGGGACUGAGACACGGCCCAGACUCCUACGGGAGGCAGCAGUGGGGAAUAUUGCACAAUGGGCGAAAGCCUGAUGCAGCGACGCCGCGUGAGGGAUGACGGCCUUCGGGUUGUAAACCUCUUUCAGCAGGGAAGAAGCGAAAGUGACGGUACCUGCAGAAGAAGCGCCGGCUAACUACGUGCCAGCAGCCGCGGUAAUACGUAGGGCGCAAGCGUUGUCCGGAAUUAUUGGGCGUAAAGAGCUCGUAGGCGGCUUGUCACGUCGGUUGUGAAAGCCCGGGGCUUAACCUCGGGUCUGCAGUCGAUACGGGCAGGCUAGAGUUCGGUAGGGGAGAUCGGAAUUCCUGGUGUAGCGGUGAAAU